AUGGCGUCCAAACGUCAAAAUCAAACAAUUUGUCCAUUUCAUUUUGCAAAAUUAUUUCAACACUGGUUAUUUAUUUGCAAUAUUAUGCAUACAAUUUAUUUUGAAUACAACUUUCGAAUUUUUGAAUGAACGAUCUCAUUUCUUGUGAUGUGUAGGUAUGAUAAUGUUGGAAGUUUUUAUUAAAAUUUUGAUCAUCUGUAAUUACAAUUUGUGCUAGCUCAAAGAAGCUCAACAUAUCAAAACAUAGAAAACCGUGUAUUGGCAAGUUUUGUUGAAUUGUUGCUUUUCAAACACUUUUUGGGAGCUUACAAUUGAAGGGACAGGGGAAGAAUGGCAAUAGUCAAUUUGGAUUUAUCUUGAGAACACUGAUAAUUAAGAUUUAUUAACUUAUUAUAAAGUCGAUAUAAUUUAAUAUAAAGUCUAAGUAAUUAUUAUUUUAUUAUUAUUCUUUAAAUUCGACUUUAUACCUAAUAAGUUAUUAAAUAUUAACUUUCAACUUGCUGGAAAAAAAUCCAAAUGGACUAUUGCUGUUAAUCUGUCUAUGCAAGAAGUUUACUAUCCAAGGAAAAGUAUGGCGGACCAAAGAUGCUGCUAGCAGACCUUUCCAUAAAACAGUUGGGGGAACAGCUAAAGGAACAGGAUGAAGACAGCAGUGGGUCCAAGAAAACCCUGCAAACACAACUCGAGGAUGUCCUCAGACAGAAUGGAGAUGACCCAGAGACAUGCCACUUUCAGUCAGCGAAAGAAAUAAUCUUAUCAAAGGUAAUCGACAGGAAAUUUGAAACUGUUUCUCAAAAGAUCUAUGAAACUUAGAAAUCUAGAAAAAAUGACUAGAAAUUCGAAAAUGUUGCUAAAAGAUUUGACGAGACUUCUCAAGUAAUUAAAAGAAGUUUCUAGAACAUCCGAUAAGAUACAGAAAAGUGUAGAAGGCAAUAAAGAAAUGCUAGAAGAGAAGAUCCCGAAGAUGAUCCCCAACUGGAUGGAUUGACUAAAUUACAGGAAUAUGCAUGUGUUAAUAGAAAUGACCAGAACCAGAGAUCUUUGGAGACAAACAAUACACUACAUCACUAUAUCUAUUACACUCCCUCCAGGGGAGUCAAGACUGAAGAGAGAGAUGCAAGGAGUUUGCAGUAGCAUGAUGUUAUGGAGAGGAAGUGGUUGAGCCAAAAUUGAAGAAGCUAAGAAGACCUAAGAAUGGAUCUAAUAAUAAUAGAAGGAACUGUACCUGUGUCAAAGAAAUGUCUAUGCAAGGAGCGGUUUUCAAUACCAUGAUGUCAUGGAGAGUGAAAUGGUUCAUACAGAACUAAAGAAGUGUUUGAGCAUUGAAGUUCAUGGAAAUCCAUAGGAGUCACUUCAAGGAAACUAGAACAUUUCGCAGAGAUUCUUGACCUCCAAAACUGCUCCAUUCCAAAGGAUUAAAGGAUUAUAUAGUUCAAGAGGCAGCGCUGAAAACUCUCUUUGAAUUUACUAAAGCUAGAUUUUUCACAGUUGAUUACUGUGAUUGUGUAGAGCAGCGGUUCUCAAACUGUGGUACAUGUACCACAGGUGGUACAUAUAACUAUUUGAGGUGGUACACAAAACACACAAAAACUUAAAAAAGUACUACUUAGUAAGUCUUGGUAAUACAAUCUAAACAUAUAGGUGGUACCAAAAAUAAUAAAUAAACUGUAGGUGGUACAUGACUCAAAAAGUUUGAGAACCACUGGUGUAGAGAAUCAUACUGUGGUCGGUCAAGCAAAACGUAGAACAGGGGUUACCGAGAGGGUAUCAAAGUUGCUUUCCUA